AUCUACGCGUCAAAGAAAUUGGUGUUUACUUAGAAUAAAAGUUUCCGGAAUUGUAUAUUCCAAACUGAACGUACAGGAAAAACAAUUUUUUAAACAUUUUCUGGCAUCGGUUGUCACGGAAAUUUUAUAAAAAAUCUACAAAUAUUCAGUUUCUAUAAAUACAGUUACUGAGACUUAGAAGAAAUACCGGUUGAGUUUUUUCCCGAAGAUUCAACGGUUUCCAGUUAAGAAACAAUUAUUUAUUGAGGAAAUUCGCGUACCAUUGAUGCACGCCAUACAUUCUUUCGGAACUUCGUAAAACAUUUCGCUAGGAGACCUGAGCCAUGUCGGACAAAAAUCCUGGUUGUGCCAACGAUAAUAGUUCUUACUGGUAGUAACAAUUACCAUAAUUGCAUACGGAAUUAUCUGAUGACGAUAUUUAAUUACCACGCUACUUUUUAUCAUGCUUGUUUAAUGAUAUGGCUAACAAAACAGUUACAGUUGUUUCGUCGAUUUCAAUGAAAAUUCUCGGAGGAUCUUGAUCGAUGUAGUACGCAGGAUUAACCUAUUUCUCGAUGUAUAAUACACGCUCUAAAAGUGCAUACCUUCGUAGAGCGUGAAAGUAUGUAGAAUGUUCCACUUUUUCCCUAUUUGUAACCGUUUCGAUGAAGAAUCGCUAUGCAUUCAGCAGAGAUACCGGGAAACAGAAACAGGUGUUAAAAGUUGAGGAACAACCGUUGUACGAUGUGUCACAUGCGAAGUCACCGUUUGACCACGAUUGCACCGAUAUUCCAUGCAAUUACAGCAUCCCACGAUCAAUUGCAUUACUCCUUAUUCUUUCCAGGACAAGAGAAAAUAUUCGUACACAAACCGUUUUAUUGCCGUUCACUUUUCAAAUUUCAACUGCGUUUAUGCGCAGUUUAGGAAAACGAUUAAGAAAACCCAAUAAACUCUUGCAUGUACUUGACGCAUGAGUUUUGAGAAAUAAACACUGUUCCCGAUCGAGAAGUUACACAAUCGUUACCGCGUCGAUAUGCAACGAGAAUAUUCACUUUUGAAGAAAUUUAUAUUUCACAGACGAUUAUGAAUUCUAUUUAACGCGUCACUGGAAGUUACACUUUUCAGGUAUCGUUACCUUAUAGCCACUGUUGAAAUAUUUAUGCAACGAUGUUUGAGGUGUAUAUCGCUUUUUAAUAACAGAGGAACAAUUGACAGAUUAACUAUUUAAUAACUUUUGUAGUUUGAUACACGUGUUAUUUGGUGCUGUGUAACACGCAAAUGUCUAAAACGUAGGAACGAACGGACCGGCAGUUGUUUCUUCCCUUGAGAGCAACAGCGGACUAAAUGUUCCACGCGCGUUAAAAAGGUGUUAUAUCUUGUAGAUAAAGACGUUUAACAAUUACUUAGAACUUCGAACUAUCAAAGUUUAUCGCUUGGAUUAGCAUCAGGCUCUGGAAAAUACGAAUUUGUCUCACAUUGAAUAAUAUUUUUUUAACUAUUUUUAAAAUGUGUUAACUGUACCAACAGUUGUCAAGAGAGUGAAAUAAGGAAUAUAGAAAUUUAUUUUGUCGAGAGCACCUGGUUUGAAUCUUAUUCAUCGACUGAAGAAAGAACAAGGUAUUGAAAACGGCAUACACGUCUGAAAUUACUGUUCAUCAUCAAGUGCGGGUUUUCUGUUACUGUUCAAUUAACACGGCUGUUCAUUACAUAAUUCCUGGACCUUUAAUGAACGCGCGGCUACCAAGAUAAUCACACGUUAAUCCUUAUUCGUUCCGAAGCAUAUUGCUUGACUACAUUCUUGGAAUAAAAUCACGUACGCUUAAAUUCUCACCGGCUGGCUUGUACCUGAUCAAUAUCGGAUAGCAAAAACAGGUAAUUUUGGGAAUGAUGCACAACGAGGGAAUCAUGAAAAAUGACUACUGUCGAAAACAGAAAUUUGAGAACCCCUAACCUAAGGAAUCUUUUUCUGAAAUGCGCUAAAAUGUUAAUAAACGAGAAUUAAAGAAUAAAGAACAUGAAACGAUACUUGUGAAAGGAUCGGGUCGAAAGAGGAUGCUUACGCGUACCGUAAUCUAUGCUUGCUCAGCGAGCGCUGAAACGAAGAACACAUAAACCGUCACGUAAAAAUAGAUUGACCCUGUCGUCGAUAAAACCCUGCAAAGCGCGAAACCCUUCAACGAAGGUAAUUCGAUAUACACGCGAGGAGAGGUGAAUGGCGUAAAGCAUUCUCACGGGGUACUCAUAUAGUACUUACAAUGGAUUCUCUUUUGAAUUCCAUAUCCUGGACUUGAAUAGUUUCUUCCUUUUUUCUUCUUUACGACUGAUUUCAUUUUAUUAUGCCUUCACAAACGGACUAAUGGAAUAAAAGCAAAUUGCAUAAAUAACAAAAGAAUUUUU
rnacentral:lncRNA from 1 species